rnacentral:rRNA from 1 species
GUGGGUGAUCCUAUGCUGCCUAGAAAAGCUUCGUGAGCGAGUUGUGAGCCGCCCGUACCCUAAACCGACACAGGUGGAUAGGUAGAGAAUACCAAGGCGAUCGAGAGAAUCGUGGUGAAGGAACUCGGCAAAAUACCCCCGUAACUUCGGGAUAAGGGGGACCUGACACGUCAACACAUUUUCUGUGGGUAGCGUGGAGGGUCGCAGAGACCAGGCCCAAGCGACUGUUUACUAAAAACACAGGUCCGUGCGAAGUUGUAAGACGAUGUAUACGGACUGACUCCUGCCCGGUGCUGGAAGGUUAAGGGGAACUGUUAGCGCAAGCGAAGCGGUGAACUUAAGCCCCAGUAAACGGCGGUGGUAACUAUAACCAUCCUAAGGUAGCGAAAUUCCUUGUCGGGUAAGUUCCGACCUGCACGAAUGGAGUAACGAUUUGGGCGCUGUCUCCACCACGAACUCGGCGAAAUUGCAGUACGAGUAAAGAUGCUCGUUACGCGCAGCAGGACGGUAAGACCCCGGGACCUUUACUAUAGUUUGGUAUUGGUGAUCGGUACAGCUUGUGUAGGAUAGGUGGGAGACUGUGAAGUCCGGACGCUAGUUCGGGUGGAGUCAUCGUUGAAAUACCACUCUGGCUGUUCUGGUUAUCUAACCUCGGACCAUGAUCUGGUUCAGGGACAGUGCCUGAUGGGUAGUUUGACUGGGGCGGUCGCCUCCUAAAAGGUAACGGAGGCGCCCAAAGGUUCCCUCAGCCUGGUUGGCAAUCAGGUGUUGAGUGUAAGUGCACAAGGGAGCUUGACUGUGAGACUGACAAGUCGAGCAGGGACGAAAGUCGGGACUAGUGAUCUGACGGUGGCGUGUGGAAGCGCCGUCACUCAACGGAUAAAAGGUACCCCGGGGAUAACAGGCUGAUCUUGCCCGAGCGUCCAUAGCGACGGCAUGGUUUGGCACCUCGAUGUCGGCUCGUCGCAUCCUGGGGCUGGAGUCGGUCCCAAGGGUUGGGCUGUUCGCCCAUUAAAGCGGCACGCGAGCUGGGUUUAGAACGUCGUGAGACAGUUCGGUCCCUAUCCGCUGCGCGCGUAAGAGUCUUGAGAAGGGCUGUCCUUAGUACGAGAGGACCGGGACGGACGAACCUCUGGUGUGCCAGUUGUUCUGCCAAGAGCACGGCUGGUUGGCUACGUUUGGAAGUGAUAACCGCUGAAAGCAUCUAAGCGGGAAGCACGCUUCAAGAUGAGGACUCUCACACCUUGUGGUGGUAAGGCCCCCGGAAGACCACCGGGUUGAUAGGCCAGAUGUGGAAGCACAGUAAUGUGUGGAGCUGACUGGUACUAAUAGGCCGAGGGCUUGUCCCA